rnacentral:rRNA from 1 species
CCCUUAGAUGUUCUGGGCCGCACGCGUGCUACACUGGUGAAUACAGCGAGUGUCCAUUCCCUUGACCGAAAGGUCUGGGUAAUCUUAUGAAAGUUCAUCGUGACAGGGAUUGAUCAUUGCAAUUAUUGAUCAUGAACGAGGAGUUCCUAGUAAAGGCGAGUCAUCAUCUCGCUUUGAUUACGUCCCUGCCCUUUGUACACACCGCCCGUCGCUACUACCGAUUGAAUGGUUUAGUGAGAUCUCCGGAUUGGCGGCCUUGGUACCUUCACGGGUCCAACGGUUCUGCCGAGAAGCUGCUCGAACUUGAUCAUUUAGAGGAAGUAAAAGUCGUAACA